UUCCCGCUCGGGGCGGGGCGUGUCCUCGUCGGCCAGUAGAUUGCAGGGGGCGGGGCCUGCCGUUCAUGCUUGGUUGCCGUGGAGCACAGCUUCAAGUGAAGUUAAUCUGAGGGGAAGCAAGCAGAAAAUUGUGGAGGUUUUGGUGACGUGGACCUAAGAAACACCCUCAACAGGAGCGGGGAAUGGGUGCAGAGCUGUAGCGCCUCCUCUCUCUGAGUUGGGACCUACAUAGUAUGGUCUGAGAAGGGUCUACAUAAGAAGCUACAGGUUACUCACAGUUGUUUCUUGUGAGAGAUGGCUUUUCUGCAUUUAGCCAUCCUGUUGGUUGCAUGAUGCCACCCUUCCCAGGGGAGCCAUGUCUGCAUUCCCGUUCCGGGUGUGGUUCAUCAGGACCCUGGACUGCUGUUGCCUGUAAUCUAGCUUGGUGCCCAAAGCACUGGGCUUUGGAGAAGAGUAAAUCUGGAUUCAAGGCCUGUCUCUGCCUCUUAUUAGCUCUGUGAUCUUAAACAAGUUUCUAGCAUCUCCAGACUCUCCAAUUACAUAAUCUAUAAAGAGUUGGUCAUCACUGCACCCACUUUUUAGGGUGGAAUGAGGAUUAAAUGUGCAUGUAAAAUUGUCAGGUUGGGGCCUGUUAAACCGUCCUCACUCAUCAGAUGUUUAUUACUGUUACCGUACAGAAAGCAGACUUGUUUUACAACCCAAGAUUGGUACCAUUCACUUGUUAGCUGUUGUGUUUGACAGUAGGCUCACUCAGAACGUUUAAGUUCUGCAGCACAGGGAGACUCUUGGACAAAUACUUCAACCCGUGUGACAGUUACUCCAUCAAGUUACAGCUUUUAUGAGGCUUGAAUUAUUUCUUAAAUCAUUUAUAUGCACAGUAUAAGGAGAAUAUAAAUAAACAUUUGUCUUUUAUAGCAAAGCAAACGUGCAGUAGCUUAUUUCACUGUUAAGUAAUACUUUAAAAAUUAGUGAAAUUUGAGUAUUGGGAUGUUACUUCUCAGGUAUUUCUAAACCAUGUUGCUAGUAUAAAUAGUAAGUUUACUCUGUGAAGUGCUAAAGCAUUUCCUAAAUUUUUUGGUAGAAAUUUGAGGCCCAUGUGAUACAUGUAGGGGAAGUAGUUACCCGCGUAUUCUAGGACAUUUUGAUUGGAUGCAGUUCUGUUUUCCAGACAAGCCUUCUAACGCUUGGUAAAUUAAUGCUACUAUAGAAAUUUGAAUCUGUGGGUAAAUGUGCUGUAAUCUUUCGUAGUAAAUGUCAGAAACCUGGCUCUUAUUCCUAUCGAAACAGUACCGAGGAUCUCAUUCUCCCUACCCAGGAGGGUCCCAAGGGAUAUUCUUGGGGACAUUGAAGUCAUCCCCGUUGACUGUCUGUCUGUAACAGUUGUUCUUUAGUUCUGGCUGUUUAUGCGAAAUAAAUUAAACUUUAGAGAACCAGAAAAAGACCUAGUUUUGCUUAUUUUGUUUAUAUAAAAAGUAAUUCUUGCUCACCUAGCCUGGGGCCAGGUGAAGAAAAAUCUAUAUGGUAAAGUUACAUAUUGCUAUAUUAUACAUGGGUGUCAAAUACCAAGUGAAAUGUUUUUAUUUCUUCAUUUUCCUCAACAACCCUUUUUAUGUAGCUAUAAUAAU